rnacentral:rRNA from 1 species
AUUGAACGCUGGCGGCAUGCUUUACACAUGCAAGUCGAACGGUAACAGGCCUUCGGGUGCUGACGAGUGGCGAACGGGUGAGUAAUGCAUCGGAACGUGCCCACAGGUGGGGGAUAACGCAGCGAAAGCUGUGCUAAUACCGCAUGUGAUCUGAUGAUGAAAGCGGGGGACCAGGCAGCAAUGUUUGGCCUCGCGCCUUUGGAGCGGCCGAUGUCAGAUUAGGUAGUUGGUGGGGUAAAGGCCUACCAAGCCGACGAUCUGUAGCUGGUCUGAGAGGACGACCAGCCACACUGGGACUGAGACACGGCCCAGACUCCUACGGGAGGCAGCAGUGGGGAAUUUUGGACAAUGGGCGAAAGCCUGAUCCAGCAAUGCCGCGUGCGGGAAGAAGGCCUUCGGGUUGUAAAACGCUUUUGUAAGGAACGAAAAGGCUCUGGCUAAUACCUGGGGCUGAUGACGGUACCGUAAGAAUAAGCACCGGCUAACUACGUG